UCCGGCAUAGCUCAGUGGUAGAGUAGAUGACUGUUAAUCAUUUGGUCCCUGGUUCGAAUCCAGGUGCCGGAG
rfam:Arcobacter sp. LPB0137, complete genome.